ACGCUCGACACCUACGGGAGGCGGCAGUGAGGAAUAUUGGUCAAUGGGUGCUAGCCUGAACCAGCCAAGUAGCGUGAGGGAUGAAGGCUCUAUGGGUCGUAAACUUCUUUUAUAUAAGAAUAAAGUGCAGUAUGUAUACUGUUUUGUAUGUAUUAUAUGAAUAAGGAUCGGCUAACUCCGUGCCAGCAGCUGCGGUAAUCUGAGCGGGCUGGCAAGGC
rnacentral:rRNA from 1 species